GGAAUUUUUUCAUUUUUCGUAUUGUAAAGCAUAUCAUCCUAAAAUUUAACGCACAAUAGUUUCUACGUCACCAUUCUGAGCUGUACUAACAUUUAGGUGAUUCGUACGAAAAUUUAGAUUAAAAAAUUACCCGCUUUUACGGUAGGAAGUUUGUGGUCGGGAUAUCAUUACAUCACAAAACUCUAGCUGGAAUGCAAACAUAGUGUACAUAACGACUGGAGACCCUGCAUGUGCCUUAAAGAUAGGGACUUUUAGUGGCAACUUCAAUUGUAUUCAUACUGUCCACAAAACCUUGGAAUGUAAACAAACAUAGAUUGGCACUCGAUAACGCGGGGCCACGUGGUAUGAUUUGCCCUGUGUAUUGUUAAGAAACAAGAUAGGCACCGUGAAUUCGUGGUCGUGGUGAUCGAGGUCAUCACAAGAUAAGUGUUUUGGUGACGUCACUCCGAAAUUAAUCUAUUUCUCACGAGGGACACGUGUAUGCUUCUCAAGUGCAGCAAGCCAUAUUUGAUAAGGCAGUGUUCUUUACAGACCCAGGCAUUGUUAUCAGAGGUAGGAGGAAGUAUUCUGAAAGAGAUGACGACGACAUCAAAAUACUACGUCAUGUACCUAGCACUAGGUGCUAUGGUCGGGAUCUUGGCAUGGAUGGCCUUGAAGAGAAUAUUGCUACCUGAAACCCAGGGGCCGAUAAAGGAAGAGACUAUUGUAGACCACCGGAGUCAAAACAUGGUGUGAUGAUAUCACAUGCUCUAUAACUCUUAAUGCUGAUAUCAUACGACCCUCUUAACUCUUAACGCUGUAUUAUUAAAUGUUUAUAGCUACGUCACGAUCAUGUUUAAAGGAGAUAUAUAAUUAUGACACGAUUUAGUGUCUCAAUUACCUUAAAACAAAAUCGAGGUAAUGUGCACAAGUG